rnacentral:rRNA from 1 species
UACGUAGGGUGCAAGCGUUGUCCGGAAUUAUUGGGCGUAAAGAGCUCGUAGGCGGUUUGUUGCGUCGGCUGUGAAAUCCCGAGGCUCAACCUCGGGUCUGCAGUCGAUACGAGCAAACUAGAGUGUUGCAGGGGAGACUGGAAUUCCUGGUGUAGCGGUGAAAUGCGCAGAUAUCAGGAGGAACACCGGUGGCGAAGGCGGAUCUCUGGGCCUGUCCUGACGCUCAGGCGCGAAAGCUAGGGGAGCGAACAGG